GAUGAACGCUGGCGGCGUGCCUAAUACAUGCAAGUCGAGCGAACGGACGAGAAGCUUGCUUCUCUGAUGUUAGCGGCGGACGGGUGAGUAACACGUGGAUAACCUACCUAUAAGACUGGGAUAACUUCGGGAAACCGGAGCUAAUACCGGAUAAUAUUUUGAACCGCAUGGUUCAAAAGUGAAAGACGGUCUUGCUGUCGCUUAUAGAUGGAUCCGCGCUGCAUUAGCUAGUUGGUAAGGUAACGGCUUACCAAGGCAACGAUGCAUAGCCGACCUGAGAGGGGGAUCGGCCACACUGGAACUGAGACACGGUCCAGACUCCUACGGGAGGCAGCAGUAGGGAAGCUUCCGCAAUGGGCGAAAGCCUGACGGAGCAACGCCGCGUGAGUGAUGAAGGUCUUCGGAUCGUAAAACUCUGUUAUUAGGGAAGAACAUAUGUGUAAGUAACUGUGCACAUCUUGACGGUACCUAAUCAGAAAGCCACGGCUAACUACGUG
rnacentral:rRNA from 1 species